AAAAAUACAAUAGGCUAUAUAAUGUCUUGCAUACUAUGAUACCUACGAAAUUGAUGAAAUUAAUAAUUUUUUGUGGGGAGGGGAGUUGAAUGUUUUUUCCUAUCUUUUACUAGUAUAUACUUUAUAGAAUUGAUGGGAUUACCGACUAAUUCGGAGAAACACCUUUCUCCACUGUUUGCGGGUAUUUGUAUAGUUAUUAAUAUCAUUACUCUCCACGUAUUAUAGACUUGGAGGGAUGACCGCCUAUCUUGGAAAGACACCACGUCCACAUCUCAAGAUUACAGCAGCAUCAACUUUCUCUUCAGUACAGAGGAGCGUGUGUGGACACCAGCCAUAAUAGUAGAGAACUCAGUUGAGGACAUAUCCGUGAUUAGCGACUCUAAGAUUCCAAUGAGGAUUACUUGGGACGGGAUAAUCCACUGGAACCCCACGGGUAUUUACAAAGUUUUCUGUGAGUCCGACAUCACGUACUACCCACUGGACACCCAGACGUGCUCUAUCAAAAUCAGUACCUGGGGGUACACACAGGGCGAGAUCCAACUGCAGCUCAAUAACCAGAAGACAUUCGACACCAGCUUCUACAACGAAAAUGGCGAGUGGGAUUUGUACUCGGCGACUGGGAUCAAGUCCAGCGACAGAUCACGUGGUGGGGAGUCGUACUCUAGUCUUACAUUUACCCUGACUUUGAGAAGGAAGCCAGAGUUUCAUAUAAUAAACACGAUAUUUCCUAUGAUACUGAUGGCGUUUCUCAUACCGAUGGUUUACAAGCUACCGCCAGAGUCCGGAGAGAAGAUGGGGUACUGUUUAACGGUGCUGCUGGCUUACGCUGUGUACCUUUCCCUUAUUUCUGAUAACAUCCCCAGUACCUCAAAGAACAUUUGUUAUUUAUCCGUCUAUCUCUGUUUAACCCUGGCAUAUAGUACCAUAUCAGUGACCAUCGUCAGUUGUAUUCUGAAUGCUUAUGCCCAAGGAGAGAAGAAAGUAACCGGAAGCAUUAACUCGAUCUGUUGUUGUAUCAGGAGUAAACGCGUCGCAGACAAAAACCACGUGACAUACUAUGGCGACCACCGGAGAAUGCGCAUUGAAGAAUUUCCGCCGGAUUACGACUCUGAGACGAACGUCAUUUCCUACCGCGAAUACUCGAAAAUACUGGAUAAAAUAUUCUUUGUUGUUUAUAUUGUGAUCAUUACCAUCACCACUGCUGUCUUUCUGAUACUUUUGCUUAUCCAUUUUUAUUCAAUCGAAGAAAAGUCUUCUUAGUCAUCUGUGUAAACCUACAAUUACAUGCAUAUGGAUCGAUGGCAUCCUCAUCACAAAACUCAGUUCAUUUGUAGAAAAAAAAAUCAUGGAAGAUAUAUCUUUAUUUCCAUGAAGUUCACUUCUCCUUAGCGGACUGUGUGCAUCAUAAUUUGAUCAUGCGCCGACAGUAAUAAUCUUCCCACUAAAGUAAAGAAGAAG
rnacentral:misc_RNA from 1 species